ACUCUAGAGAUAGAGUCUUCCCCUUCGGGGGACAAAGUGACAGGUGGUGCAUGGUUGUCGUCAGCUCGUGUCGUGAGAUGUUGGGUUAAGUCCCGCAACGAGCGCAACCCUUAAGCUUAGUUGCCAGCAUUAAGUUGGGCACUCUAAGUUGACUGCCGGUGACAAACCGGAGGAAGGUGGGGAUGACGUCAAAUCAUCAUGCCCCUUAUGAUUUGGGCUACACACGUGCUACGAUGGACAAUACAAAGGGCAGCUAAACCGCGAGGUCAUGCAAAUCCCAUAAAGUUGUUCUCAGUUCGGAUUGUAGUCUGCAACUCGACUACAUGAAGCUGGAAUCGCUAGUAAUCGUAGAUCAGCAUGCUACGGUGAAUACGUUCCCGGGUCUUGUACACACCGCCCGUCACACCACGAGAGUCUGUAACACCCGAAGCCGGUGGAGUAACCAUUUAUGGAGCUAGCCGUCGAAGGUGGGACAAAUGAUUGGGGUGAAGUCGUAACAAGGUAGCCGUAUCGG
rnacentral:rRNA from 1 species